UAAUACGAAGGGUGCAAGCGUUACUCGGAAUUACUGGGCGUAAAGCGUGCGUAGGUGGUUGUUUAAGUCUGUUGUGAAAGCCCUGGGCUCAACCUGGGAAUUGCAGUGGAUACUGGGCGACUAGAGUGUGGUAGAGGGUAGUGGAAUUCCCGGUGUAGCAGUGAAAUGCGUAGAGAUCGGGAGGAACAUCCAUGGCGAAGGCAGCUACCUGGACCAACACUGACACUGAGGCACGAAAGCGUGGGGAGCAAACAGGAUUAGAUACCCUGGUAGUCCACGCCCUAAACGAUGCGAACUGGAUGUUGGGUGCAAUUUGGCACGCAGUAUCGAAGCUAACGCGUUAAGUUCGCCGCCUGGGGAGUACGGUCGCAAGACUG
rnacentral:rRNA from 1 species